rnacentral:lncRNA from 1 species
AUUAUCCGUAGGUUUGGUCUUCUCAUUGUGUCCUGAAUUUCCUGGAUGUUUUGAGUUAGGAUCUUUUUGCAUUUUGCAUUUUCUUUGAUUGUUGUGCUGAUGUUCUCUAUGGAAUCUUCUGCACCUGAGAUUCUCUCUUUCAUCUCUUGUAUUCUGUUGCUGAUUCUCAUCACAUCUAUAGUUCCAGAUUUUUUUUCCUAGGGUUUCUAUCUCCAGCAUUUCCUCACUUUGGUUUUUUUUUUUUUUUUUUAAUUGUGUCUACUUCCCUUUUUAGGUCUAGUAUGGUUUUGUUCAUUUCCAUCACCUGUUUGGAUGUGUUUUCCUGUUUUUCUUUAAGUACUUCUACCUGUUUGGUUGUGUUUUUGUGUUUUUCUUUAAGGACUUGUAACUCUUUAGCAGUGUUCUCCUGUAUUUCUUUAAGUGAGUUAUUAAAGUCCUUCUUGAUGUCCUCUACCAUCAUCAUGAGAUAAUCUUUUAAACCUGGGUCUAGCUUUUCGUGUGUGUUGGGGUGCUACAUUCUAAUGAUGGUGAGUGAUCUUGGUUUCUGUUAGUAAGAUUCUUACCUUUGCCUUUUAGCCAUCUGGUAAUCUCUGGAGUUAGUUGUUAUAGUUGUCUCUGGUUAGAGCUUGUUCCUCUGGUGAUUAUGUUAGCUUCUAUCAGCAGACCUAGGAGACUAGCUCUCUCUUGAGUUUCAGUGGUCAGAGCACUCUCUGCAGGCAAGCUGUCCUCUUGCAGGGAAGGGGUCCAGAUAUCUGGUGUUCGAACCUGCCUCCUGGCAGAAGUUGUGUUCCACUCACCAGAGGUCCUAAGAUCACUUGGAGAUUCCUCUAGGGACCUUGGGGGUGUUCGAUGAUUUUGUCCCCACGGUGACCUGGUGCUGGAGCUGAUGGGAAGGGACUUGUGACCCUGGUCUGGCCGGGUUUUCUGCUUCCCUAAUUAAUGCUGUCUCAGGUUCCUAGCGAUUGGAUUGGAACAGAAGUUGUGUUCCACUCACCAGAAGUCCUAAGAUCCCAUGGAGAGUCCUCUGGGGACCUUGGGGGUGUCUGUCAACUCUGCGCCCAAGGUGACCCUGUGCUGGAGCUGACGGGAAGGGACUUGUAGAUGUCCUUGUUUUUAAUAGCUGAGUAGUAUUCUAUUGUGUAAACGAACCACAUUUCCUGUAUCCAUUGUUUAGAUGAAGGGCAUCUGGGAAAUGACAUUUUUUUUUCUUUUUUCUUUUUUUUCUUCUCAAGACAGGUUUUCCCUGUAUAGCCCUGGCUGUCCUGGAACUUACUUUGUAAAUCAGGAUGGCCUCAAACUCAGAAAUCUGCCUCCCUCUGCCUCCCAAGUGCUGGGAUUAAAGGCAUGUGCCACCACCCCAGGAGCCAAAUAUAUUGGAAAGGUGUUUGACUAGUUACAACUAAUGAUUACACAAUGUAGACAUUAACUUAUCCAUGAGAGUGGAACACCUUGGUCUAACUUUUAAAGGAUCAUCUCUCAGUGUUAUUGUGAGACAAUUAAAUUUCAAUGUGGUGUUUAAAGAAACAUAACAUAUCACUCCUUGUAUGAUAUCUGAAAAGAAUGUUUUUUUACAACUUG